AGAAAAUCAUAACUUAGAGAGAAAAAAUUAAGAGAUUGAGAAUGUGGAACUUUUGCAGAAGCUGAGCCAUCAACGGAGUUCGCCGGAACCACCGCAUGCCGUAACCAAGCCAAGCUUGUCACCACCGAUCAUCACCCUAGGUAACCACCGCCAUGCAUUUACUUAGUUUCGGCUGUUUUAGUAAAUCGACCAUAUCUCCCUAACCGUUGAUAAUCUCGUGCAUACAAGGCCACCAUUGUGUUCCUCUCGUCGAGACGAAGCCGUAACUACCGACGACCACGCCGUAAUCGGACCCCGGACAAAGCCGCUAGAGCCUCCCAAGAUUUUGCCUUCGCCCCCGCAGUCCACUAGAGCCUCCGCGCGUGAAGACAACUCGCCACCGUCUCCGA
rnacentral:lncRNA from 1 species